UUACGGCCACAUCACGUUGAAACGCCAGUUCCCGUAAGAUCACCAAAGUUAAGUAACGUUGAGCCUGGUCAGUACGUAGAUGGGUGAGCACUUGAGAAUACCUGGUGCUGUG